GUGAUCAGGACUGAACACAGCUGCUCACCAUGGAGASUGUGCUCAGCUGGGUUUUCCUGGUGGCUGUUUUCAAAGGAGUCCAGUGUGAGGUGCAGCUGCUGGAGUCUGGGGGAGGCCUGGUGCAGCCUGGGGGUUCCCUGCGACUCUCCUGCACAGUCUCUGGAUUCACCUUAAGUAGCUACUACAUGAACUGGGUCCGCCAGGCUCAAGGGAAUGGUUUGGAAUGGGUUGGCCAAAUCAACCCAAGUAGUGGUAGCACCUACUACCCAGACUCUGUGAAGGGCCGAUUCACCAUCUCCACUGAAAAUUCCAAGAACAUGCUGUAUCUGCAAAUGAGCAGUCUGAGAGUUGAGGACACAGCCACCUAUUACUGUGCUAGAAACACAGUGAGGGGACCUUAG